AGAGGCUAGCGUUGGAUGGUUUUAGGCGGGGUAGGGGUAGGCCGAAGAAGUACUGGGGUGAGGUGAUUAGGCGGGACAUGGAGCAGUUACAGCUCACCGAGGACAUGACCCUAGAUAGGAAGGUCUGGAGGACGCGAAUUAGGGCAGAGGGCUAGGGCCGGUUUGAGUCGCUAGUGUAGGGAAUUGCUUGGUGGGGGUUUAUUCUUGUUAAGAGUCCGUGUUCCAUGUUUUAUUAUGAAUCUGUGUACUUUCCUCUGUUUUAUAUUACUUAUGGGUGCCGUAUUUAUGUUAUGUAAUCUUGUGCUGUGCUUUACUAUGUGUUAGUGUGGUAUCUUGUGUCUUGAGCCGGGGGUCUAUCGGAAACAACCUUUCUACUUCUUCAAAGGUAGAGGUAUGGACUGCGUACAUCUUACCCCCCAGACCCCACUAGGUGGGAAUACACUAGGUUUGUUGUUGUUAUAGUACCGUGACAUUAAUUUUGUGACGAACUAAAAAGAAAAGUAUGUCACAUAAAAGGGGACAAACGGUACACUUAAAAUAUAGGGAAAAGGGUCAAAAUACCCCUCUACUUUACUUAAUUGGUUAAGUUUACCCCUAUUCAUACUAGGGCAGUGUUGCAACAGGUGCUCGCCACGUCGCCAAUGGCGAAUGGCGAAGUGAGGCCUGGUCGCCUCUUCACGUCGUGGCAUUGCGAAAAUCAAAAGGCGACGCCUUUGCGAGAAAGGCGAAAUGGCGAGGCGAGGCGACAAUGACGUCGCCUUUUAAUUAUUUUUUAAAAAAAUUAGGGUUUUAGGUAUAUAAGCUAAUUUUAGGGCUUAUUUACCCAUUUUGGUUCUACCAACUUACUCAUUGGUGACUGCGACUGAUACCAUUGAUCUCACAAGUUCGAUUCCGGCGACCGGCGACGUAUUCUGGCGACUCCCGCUACUCCGAUAAGCAAUGAUUUCUAUUUUUUUUUUCUUCUUCUUAAUCCAACGAUUGGACUUGUAAUUUGGUGCUGUUUUUUUUUUCUUCCUUUUUUUCUCUUCUUCUUCUCUUUUUCUUCCACUGUAUUCUGUAACAGUGAACUUGUCUUACAGACUUACACUGUUACUGUAACAGUAACCAGUAUGUAAAUUUUUUUUUUUAAUAACUUAUAUAGAAUUAACAUAGUAUGAUAGUAAUAUACUAAUUAAAUGACUUGAUCAUUAACAGUUAUUCCAAUUUCAAUGGAGUCUCAAUCUACUAGUAACAAACAAAGGUACAUAGGAUGGAAUUAUGGUACACAAGGACCAUCAAAAGAUGCGGUGAUAUGCAAUUUUUGUCGACGUACUAUUAAUGGUGGUAUUACUCGAUUCAACCAACACUUGAUAGGUGAAAAUAAAAUGUCAAGAUAUGUCAAACUUGUCCGGCAAACAUUAAGGAUGAAGUAAAGGCAUUUGUUGAUAGCAAAGUCGCGACAAAUCCAAAGAAUCAAAGAUAUAUGCCAUCAUAUAAUAUUGUUGAUGAUGAUGAUAUAUGAAUGAACAUGAGGAAAUGAUGCCUCCCUCCAAAUAUCAAAAAAUGUCUUCGAGUGCUAGUGUAUCAUCCUCGGCACAUCUGACGAAAAGUCCUAUUGAUAAAUUUUAUCUACAAAAGCCACAACAUAACACUGACUUUGAAAAGGCGGGAAUAGGAGGAUGAGGAGGAAUUAAUGCCACAAAAUAGAUCUUAAGGAAGCGGGCGGUAAAUGCUUUCGCGGUAUGGAUGUGUGAUGUAGGCCUCCCAUUCAAUUGUGUCAAUUAUGAUUCAUUUACUAACUUCUUAGAAGCGGUAAGACAACAUUGCCCGGGAAUGGAGCCACCUACCUAUCAUGAAGUUAGAGUUACUCAAUUAAAGAAGGAAGUGAAGAAAGUUGAUGAACUUGUUAAGAAGCAUAAGGUUUAAUGGCAAAAGUAUGGUUGUUCCAUUAUGAUGGAUAAAUGGACAACUCGUAAUGGAAAAAUGAUAUUAAUAUUUUGGUCAAUUGUCCGAUAGGGAGCAAUUUUCUUGAUUCUAUUGAUGCUAGCAAUGAGUCCACCACUGGCGCUAAGAUGUUCAGCUUGCUUGAGAAGCAAUUGAGGAUAUUGGACUGGAAAAUGUUGUACAAGUUGUAAUUGAUAAUGCCAGUGAGAAUGUAAAAGCAGGGGAGCUUAUGAGGGUUGUGUAUCCACAUAUCUACUGGACUCCAUGUGCUGUCCAUUGCAUCAUUUUGAUGUUGCAAGACAUAUUCAAGAUUAAUCCAUAUGCCUCAGGUAAUACUUAACACCUCUUUUUUUUAAGUUAUUACUAAAGUCUGACUAUUUAUUAAGCUAAUAGUUGAUAUAAUGUCUUUUACAGUUUUUAAGAAGGCCACAAAGGUGGUUGGUUUCUUACAUAAGUCAAAGGCCGUUGUUGUUGAACUUGAUGAGAAAAUUCACCAAUGAGAAAAAUUAGGUAAAACCAGCCAAGACAAGAUUCGCAACGGCCUUUUUGACUUUGGAGGCUAUGUACAAACAAAGGAAGAACUUAAGAAGCUUGAUCAUCUCCAAUGAAUGGAGUUCUAGUAACAAGUUUUGGGGAAAGAAGUUUCGACCAUUCUUUAUUCUGCAUACUUUUGGAAUGAUGUAGUCAAAGCUCUUAAAGUUUGCGGUCCUUUGGUCUCGUUCCAUCGCUUGGUGGAUGGGGAAAAAAGACCCCCAAUGGGCAAUAGGCUAUAUGCUUGAAGCAAUGGAUAAGGCGAAGGAAACUAUUCAACUGGGGUUUGAUGGAGUUUCGAGGCAUUAUGAGAAAGUCCUCGAAAUAAUUGAUUCAAGGUGGACUGACCAACUCAAGCGACCUUUGCACUCCACCUGGUAUGUUUUGAAUUCGGGAUUGUACUUUAAAUCGACUAUGAGUGAAGAGAAAAUUGCUAAAGUGUGGGAGAGUUACUACACUUGUAUUGAGACGAUGGUCCCCGAUCUUUCCACACAAGAUUUACUACUUGCUGGGCUUGCUAAGUACAAGAGUGUGGAUGGAUUGUUUGGUUCUAGUCAAGCUGUUAGAGCCAAAGACACAAGGUCACCGGGUUAGUGAAUUGGUUUAGUUAUCUUUAUUAUAGCUUUAGUGCUUUACUUAAGUUAUUGACUUUUUUAUACGUGUUAACCUUCAAUUUUUUUCUAUAGUUGAGUGGUGGUCUCUAUUUGGCAACGGAACUCCAAAUUUGCAAAGGUUUGCCAUAAGAAUUCUGAGUUUAACUUAUAGUGCAUCUGGAUGUGAGCGAAACUGGAGUGUCUUUGAACAUGUGAGAAUGAGUUAUUAUAUUCAACUUUCUAUCAUCUAUAUUGAAGCAAUUAUUAUUAGAAUCUAAUUAGUAACUACUUUAUUAUGUACAGAUUCAUUCCAAGAAGAGAAAUAGGCUUGAGCUAUCGCGUCUCAAUGAUCUAGUGUACGUUAAGUACAAUAGAACAUUGGCACGUCGCUAUGAUAUUCACGGUACCAUUGAUCCUAUUAUAUUGGAAAAUAUUAAAGAUGCUAAUGAAUGGUCACUUAUUGGCCCCGAAGAUCAAGAAGAUAAACUAGUGUACGAGGAAGGUAAUCUUAAUUGGGGUACUGUUGAUAUGGCAACUAGAGUUGAUGAUGAUAAUGUCUAUGGUCUUAGGAGAAAGUCAAGGUCAAGGUCACUUGACAAGGGAAAAGCGAUAAGUUCAAGCCAGACUCCGGCCCUAGUUGAUGAAGAAUUAGAAGAGAAAGAAGAUGAGGGGCAAUAUAAUGAAAUACAUAUUGGAAUUGAAGAUUAUGCAAAUCUUGAAGAAGAAUAAACUUCAAAGUUUUAGUAUUGCUUGUUUUAUGGAUAUUGGAUUGUUGGAUCAUUCAAGUUCUAGACUUUUAGUAUCUAUCUACUAUCUAUUUUUAAUUCUUAACUUGAAAUAUUUUCUAAUAUAUUAGUGUUAUUGAAAUUUUGAUCAUUUAUAUAUUAUUUUAAUUUUUUUGUAUUAAUUGUCACCUUACAUUCAAAAGACGAUCGCCUCGCCGCAUGGCGAGUCAAGGCCUUGUCGCCUUUCGCUGUCCAAAACGCUGCUAUAGGGUCAAAUAUACCCCUUCCGUCAUACUAUGGGGUCAAAUAUACCUCUCCCGUUAAGAAAUUUAAUAAAUAUACCCUUCUAUUUAACGGUUUCCACCGUGGGCUUUUAAAAUCUGAUGUAGCCUAACAUUUAAUGAGGUGGAUGUCAUGUGGCAUGCCACCUCACCACCAAAUAUUUAUUUUCUUAUCCUGUUUCAUUACAAAUUUUAUGCUUUUUUUUUCUUUUUUGAAAUGUGAAAUAAAAUAAAUAUUUAUAUGGAAUCUUAAAUUAUUUAGCUAAAUAUCAUUUGGUUAUCUUGCGUAACAAAUGUUAGGUCCAAGGUUUCACCAGCUAAUUUUGAUGAUAACAAACCAAUACAAGUUAAUAAAAGAACAUUUACUUGUGGUAAAUUUAUUUUUAGUACACGUUUAUUUGAUGAAGAAAGAUUUGGUAAAGAUCCAAACAAACAUGGAAAAGAAGACAUUAGGGAAGAAAAAGAUUUGUCCAAAUCAAGAAGAUGGAUGUGUUAACAUUCAAAUCAAGAUCCAAGAAAUUUAGAAAAAAGAAUCCCUUUUCAAAUACUCAAAAAGGAAGAAGCAUCUCACAAGAUUUACCAAAGAAAAGAACAAUUGCUAGAAGAUUACUACCAGGAAGAAAGAGAUAAUAAAAAAAAAAUCAAGAGGCAUUCCAGGAAAGGAGGAAGAUUUGCUGCAUUAAAUGAAUUGCUUAAAUCAUAGGACUGCCUCAUCUCUCUUCCAUGUAUAUAUGUACUUAGUUAGAUUUUCCUUUUAGUCUUUACUUAUUCUUGAAAAUUGAAUAUCCUUAUUAAUUUUCUUAAGAAGAAAAAUUCUUUUGGGUUGCCUUCUAGCUUCCAACGGCUACUAGUAGUCCAAUUACUACUAUAUAAAGCAUUGGAAGUCAAAGGAAGAGAUACACUUGUCUCAACCUUCUUUACUUCUUUGCUCUACUUUAUUCAAACAUUGUAUUCAUUUACGGUUUACUGUGUACUUAAAAAGAGAGGAGAAAAACACAAUUGGUGAGGCAUUGUAUAAAAAUAUGAAAGAAAAGAAUAGAGUGUGAGUCCAAGCCAAAAAGCUGGACUCAAUCCUACUUUGAUAUUUUAUGCAAAAGAACUAGUAGAAUCCCUAGCAACCCAAGGGGACUGGAGUAAGACCUAUUAGAGGUCCCAACCAAUAUAAAAUAUCCGGUGUUAAUUACUUUCAGCAAUUCAAUUUCUGAAGUUUUCAUUACUGCACUCAUCAGUCGACUGACUGAUGUAGAAAUUCGACUGUGUGGUCGAAAAAGAGUAAUUCACCACUCCUCUUACUGCUUUCAAUUGGUAUCAGAGCUUAGUCUCACGUCUUUACUUUUGCUUAACAGCAAGUGAGUAAAGAUUCAUGGCAGGGCAUCAAGUUACUGAAGCCAUAUUCCAAGAGGGACUCUCAAUAAGCCGACCGCCCUACUUCAACAGUCUAUACUAUAGUCAGUGAAAGGCAAGAAUGAAGAUCUACUUCAACAGUCUUCUCACUGCCAUAGGUGAUGUAUGUAUAUCUGACUGUUGAAUUAAUCUUAAUUAAACUGCUAAGCUUAUUCUGGUACUAGACAACAGUAUAUAGCUUUGAGUCGACUAUUGCGUCAUGCAAUUAUAUUGAGCAAUUUUGAAUAACUUGAAUAUAUACAUAUAUCUUUUACUUCUGAAACUAUACCAUGUCAUAAGUUUUAGAACAAGCAAGUAUGCAAUUUUUAUUGAUAUCAUACAUAUUUAAUUUAUGUUUUUGUCUUGAACGGAUGAUGUGCCAUAUUCUUUCUAUUGAUAAGCAUGCUAACGUUUCAUUCAAGCUAAAGCAUGGUAUUACUCAAGGCCUUAUAUGAACAUAUUGAUAAUCUUGAAGGCAAAAGGUAUGUAUUUUUACUAUUGAUAAUUAUUCAUAAGUUCCGUGAGGUAUAGUUUUUGAUUUAUCUAAAGAACUCUUCAUAUGAGAUUUGAAAAGGAAGAAAGUAUCCAUUGAUCUUUUUUUUCAUUCUUUUGGUUGUAAAUGUCCACCGUCAAGGUAAAGAUAGUUUUGACAAGUUUUACGCAAUAUUUUAUAAUCCUUAUUACUUAUAAUUCUUAUUUCUUUCACACAUUUAGUUACAAAGACCUUAAUGUUUGUUUCUUUUAGACUAAUAUUUUUUUUCAAGCAAUAUGAGCAUAAAGAUGAAGACUGUAUUUUGAAAAACAAGCACUAAUUUGAUACGGAUACAUACGUGCAAGCGAAAUCUGAAAGAAGUAAUGAGUAUAAACGAAAGAACUCUGCAAUGCAAGAAUUGUUAAAUGUAAAUGAACAACAUAUCACAAUGGAUCUCAUCAUCAAUGAGUUGCAAUUAUCAAUAUUCAGAUGCACCUGAUGGAAAUGGUAAGGUUGUCAAAACUAAGGGUAAAGUUAUAGCCCAAUGUUUCACUACAAGAAGGUUUGUUUACAUGCAUUGAGACUUUCAUUGAGAUAUUUCCUUUCAUGAGCAUUUUAUAAAACUUUUAAAUUGUUUUACGUGUCAAAAUUAUUUUUUAAAUAGGUUAUAACUAUAUAAUAUUUUUUUAAAACAUUUUUUGAAUUUUUUUUGUACUCAUAAGAUCAAUUCUUAUGAUUUAAGACCAUCCUAAGAGAACAGUAAGAAAAGUUGAUUUCUCUUUGUUUGAAAAAUAAUUUUUUUAAAAAGCAUGUCUGUGAUUUUAUAAUUGCCCAUAUUAUUUAUCAUGCAGUACUAACAAGGAGUUGUACCAAGAUUUUUUUAAGUUUUUAUAAGGUAUUCGAACUCCAGAUGAUUACGAAAGGAGAAUUGACAUUCCUCUUCAAGUUCUAAUAUUGCAAAGAUAAAUUAAAAGUCUCUUUAUCAAAGUCAAGUACUCAAAGGGAAUACUCAAAGAGCUUUUGUAUGAAAAUUUCAUUGUACAUGAAUAUUCCGGUAAGCUCAUUUAUUUCUCUUGCAAAGAAAAAAAUUGGUGAUUAUAUCAAUAAAUAGACGUCACGUGGGAUACUCUCAAACUCAAACAUUGCAAAAGAUAAAGUGGACAAGCAUAGAUCAUAUUUAUGUGUACCAUGAAAAAUGUGCCUGAGGACAAUGAAUAUACCCAUGCCAAUAUUUUCACUUUUUAAAAAAAAAAAAUUGAUAUGUACUGAUGGGUGAUCUUGUAUCCUUUUUACUAGUAAGAAAGUUUUUCUUCCUUUCUAAACUGCUAUAUGUGUAUCAUUUGUGAACAUGCAAGUCUGACAGAUAUUUCUGAAGGGUGAUAGUCAUAAUUUUUUUUAAAUGGAUUCAAAAUAUCUUGCGGUAGUUAUUAUUUGUGUGAAUGAUAUGAUAUUUUUGUGAUGCUUGACAACCACACACCUUAUAGUUGACUCGAUAUAUUCCUCCACGUUUUUACACUAAAAAUGUUUCUCAAAUAAUUUUUGAUUGAUUAUCUUUUAGCUAACGUGUGUAUUUGUCCAACUGGAGAUUUUAUCUUAUCAACUUGAAGUGCUAAAAAUGCCUUUUCAUACUUCAUUCUCAGUUAUAAAGUUUGAUUCUCCAUUUAAAAAUAUAUACUCGUUAUGUGCUAAUUAUACAAAUGUUGAAACCUAAUUAGCCAAUACUUUUAUUAUCAGUUUUCACCCCUUUUUAUGAUGUCAAAGGGGGAGAAGUUCUUUCCUGUACAAAAUGUUUGUUUGUUAGUAUCGUAAGAUAGGAAAUGAAAAGAAAAGGAAAGAAGGCAAGAAGUGAGGGGAGCAUUUUUGUCAAUGCCCCAACAAUCAAAGGAACAUAUAGUCAGGGGAGUUCACAUCCUUCAUAUUUAGUCUUUUAUUAAAAUUGAAAGUUUUGUACUCAAUGAUUUGCCAUCAUCAAAAAAGGGGAGAUUGUUAGGUUCAAGGUUUCACCUGCUAAUUUUGAUGAUAACAAAUCAAUACAAUUUAAUGAAAGAACAUUUACUUGUGGUAAAUUUAUUUUUGGUACGGGUUUAUUUGAUGAAGAAAGAUUUGGUAAAAUUUAAACAAACAUGGAAAAGAAGAUAUUAUGGAAGAAAAAGUUUUGUCCAAAUCAAGAACAAGAAUAUGGAUGUGUUUACAUUCAAAUCAAGAUGCAAGAAAUUUACGAAAAAGAAUCCCUGUUCAAGUACUCAAAAAAAAAAAAGCAUCUCACAAGAUUUACCAAAGGAAAGAAAGAUUGCUGGAAGAUUACUACAAGGAAGAAAGAGAUAUUCAAAAAAAAAUCAAGAGGCAUUCCAGGAAAGGAGGAGAUUUGCUGCAGUAAAUGAAUUGCUUAAAUCAUGGGAUUGUCGCAUCUCUCUUCCAUGUAUAUAUUGUACUUAGUCAGAUUUUCCUUUUAAGGUGUGUUUGGUAUGAUGGAAAAUAUUUUCCAUGGAAAAUGUUUUCCUAGAAAAAGUUUUCUGGAAAAUAAGUUGGUUUUCUACUUCUUUUCUCAUGUUUGGUGGGAGAGUGAAAUAUUUUAUGGUGUUUGGUUGGUGAAUAGAAAAUAUUUUUUAGAAAAAUAUUUUCUAGUGUUUGAUUGGUGAGUAAAAAAAUAUUUUUUAGAAAAUACUACUAUCUGUUAACUAGUAUAUCAGUGCCUCUAGCAACUCAACAAUUUGUAAGAACUAAUUUAAGCAUAAGCAAAUAAUAUCAAUAUUGAAUACUAAAAUAUUACAAUCACUAAAUUUAAUCAACUACUAAUUAGCAAAUAUAGGAGACAUUUUUCAACAUUUUGUUAGGACAAUCUCAAGAUAUUAUAAUCAAUAAAAAUACAACGGAACGACAAGUUUAUUCAUGAAAAAAUGAAAUAUGCAAUUAGUAAAAGUAACAUAGGUAAGUCUUCCUCUAUGAAUAUGGAAAUAACAAUACAUUCAACAAACAUUGGAAAAGAAAAAAAUCGGGCUUCACUAUUUUUUAUUUCAAACAGUGAAAAAUUGAAGCAAAGCACAGUGAAAAAUAUUUUCAAGUAAUGUGAAUUUUUCCCUUGGGGUGGGAAAGAGGGAUGGGGGUGGGGGCAUAAGUCACAUUUGUCAUUUUCCAGAAAAUGACUUCCCUUGGCCCAUGAGGGAAGUCAUUUUCACUCAAAUAGAGGAAAAUGAGUUAUGAAAAACAUUUUCCCAACAUUUAACUACAACCAAACAAGUUAAAAUAAGAAAACAUUUUUCAUCAUACCAAAUACACCCUUAGUCUUUACUUAUUCUUGGCCUAAGAAGAAAAAAAAAUUCGGUUGCCUUCUAGCUUCUAACAAGUAGUAGUAAUUUAAUAUUGGAAGUCACAGAAAGAGAUAUACAUUUGUCUCAACCUUCUCUAGUUCUUUGCUCUACUUUAUCCAAGCAUUGUAUUCUCUUAAGGUUUACUGUGUACUUAAAAAGAGAGAAGAAAAACAUUUAGUUGGUGAGGCAUUGUAUCAAAAUAUGAAAAAAAAAAAUAGAGUGUGCAUCCAAGCCAAAAAAUUGGACUCAAUCCUGUACUUUGAUAUUAUUUGCAAAAGAACUAGUAGAAUCCCUUGCAACCCAAGAAGACUGAAGUAAGACCUAUUAGAGGUCCCAACCAGUAUAAAAUAUCCGGUGUUAAUUACUUUCAGCAGUUUAAUUUCGGAAGUUUUCAUUAUUGCACUCAUCAGAAAACCGACUGUGUGGUCGAAAAAGAGUAAUUCACCCCCUUCCUUACUGCUUUCAAUAAAUAAUUGAUUUGUUCAUUGAAAAGGAAAAGGAAAAAAUUUGAAAUAUUUGCCUCUGCUCAUCGAAACAAAAUAAGUUUAUCUACUCCCACUCCCAAACUAUUUCAUGCCUCAUUUGUAUCUCUCUUUUUGGAUCUAAGAUCGCCGAACAAGGAUGGUCGUUGGGCUUGGAUGAAACCGCCAGCACAAAUAUUUGUUGUUUGUUUCAAUUUCAAAAAGGGCAAAAAAAGAAAAAAGAAUAAAAUACGUAAUGAAAAAAAAAUAUUAGAAAAAUAAAUAUUUGGUGGUGAGGUGUGCAUGUCAUGUGGCAUCCACCUCACUCAAAUGUUAGGCCACAUCAAAUUUUAAAAGGGCAUAGUGGACAACCGUUAGAAGAGUAUUUUUAUUUUUAUUAAAUUUCUUAAUGGAAGAGGUAUAUUGAUCCUAUAGUAUGAUGGAAGAGGUAUAUUCGAUCCUAUAGUAUGACUAGGGGUAAACUUAACCAAUUAAUGAAAGUAAAGGGGUAUUUUUUACCCUUUUCCCUAAAAUAAUCUCUAUUAAUAUCUAAAGGAAAAGGACAGUCUAGUUCACUAAAGCUCCUGCUAUGCGCGAGGUAUGGAGAAAGGUCGUACCACAAGGACAAGGGUCUAUUGUACGCAAUCUUACCCUACAUUGCUGCAAGAGAUUGUUUCUACAGCUUGAACCUGUGACCUCUUGGUCACAUGGUAGCAACUUUACCAGUUACACCAAAGCUCCCUUUCAAUUUCUUUUAAUAUCUUCUCACAAAAUACACUAGAAAGAAGAUCAAUGACAAUAAAAAUCUCACAAAGAUCUGCCCCCAUCCGGCAAAAGUAGCAUCUUAUUUUCAAUUUUGUCAUCUGACAUUAACAUGCUAAUAAAUUUCAGUAAAGUACACAGAAGGACCAUCUCUGCGGUUUGAGGCAAAGCGAAUAACGUGCCAUAUUAAUAAUGUGGAGUUGGUGCAACCAAACUCUGCUUAUUAACGACAUAGAACCCAAUACCGAUACUUAAAUCAAACACAUCAAAGUUCCCUAUUCUAAUUAUGUUAUCCUGGGGAGAGGAGGAUGUUUAUGAGCAACAUGGAAUCAUGGAUAAGCACAACAUCCUCAUGAACAGAUAACCAAACACUAUAGUAUUACACCAUCCAUGAUGUUGUUUUGUGUAACAUUUCAAUUGAGCUACAAGAGAAAUAGCGAGUCAACUAGAAAAACUAGCACCACUGCCAAAUUUAGUUCAUACAUACCCUUUGGCUCUUCUGAGGGCCAUAUUGAGCAGGAUCGAAAGCAUCAUAAUGUGACUGGUACCUUUGACCAAUUUCAUACCGCAAAAUAUUAAACGCCUGAAACAUGUACUGGCUUUUUCACCAAAGAGUAAAGGUCAAAUUAUUCAGCUUAAAUAAAAAUAGUGACCAGAGGAAUGUAACACUUAGCAAUUAGCAAUUUAGCAUUGCCCUGAAGCAGACAAUAAUUCAAAAUCAGUAAGGAGCGAUAAAGAUAAAAUUGAGAUGCAAAACACACCAAUUUUUAUUAGCGUACAAUCAGAGACGGAUCCAGGAUUUGGAGUCUCCGGGUGCCAAGUAGACCCAUCGAUUAAUAACAUGUUCGGCCGAGAUUUUGGGAGGCCAAAAGUGCUUAUUCUAAAAAGCUGAUGUGUUCGGCCAAAUUUUUAUGAUAAAAUAAGUGUCUCUGGAGAGUAGAAGAAGCGCGCCACGUAAUCUAGGGCGAGCAUUCCAGAAGAAGCUAUUUUUUCCAAAAGCUAAAAAAAAAAUCCUAAAAAGCGCUUUUCUGGAAGGCACUUUUGUAAAAAAAAGAAUACACUAGAAAGCAUUUUAGAAGAAUGUGUCCAAACACUAAUUACUAUUCAAAAGUGUAAAAAAAACAAAAAAGAGAGACCCAAGAACGACGAUGAUGAGGGUUUUUUCAAUGGAUGAGAGCAAACUGAUAUGUUUUUUAAACUUCUACUUUUUUUUAAACUUUAUAUUCAUACAAAUACAGUAACUAAUAAUAAAUUUAAAAAAGUCAAAGACUAAUAAACUAAAUUAGUCAAUAAUAAUUGUUAGAUGACCUCCCUGUUGACGCAGCAAGUCAAAAUUACACAAUAACAAAGAAAAAAAAGAGUUGGCAUCAAGCGGGAGUCAAUCCUGGGCACUUGGUGUGAAACCAUCGACCUUCACCACUGGCACAAUGGGCUAUGUUUGAACACUGGGUGCCACAUUUAUUAUUUAUACAUAUCUAUAUAUACAAAUAUGUAUAUGCAGAUAUUUGGCAAGGGAGCACGAAUGCCCCAAUGCGGAGGUGUGAUUGGUUGGCUAGGGAUGGUUUCAAGCUUGGUAGAGGUAGAUCGAAGAAAUAUUGGAGGGAGGCGAUUAGACAUGACAUGGAGCAGCUCCAACUUACCGAGGACAUGACCCUAGAUAAGAAGUUGUGGGGGAGGCGGAUUAGGGUAGAAGGUUAGUCAAAGUUUAGGGUAUGGUAUAUUUUGGUGUGUUACUUGGAGUAUCUUGUUUAUGGUAUUAUUGAGUUUGCUAAUCCCUAUUAUAUCUUAUUCUUUCACUAUUGUUACUAUUACUGUUCCUUAUCUUAGAUUGUUCUAUUUUGAGCUGGGGGUUUCUCGGAAACAGCCUCUCUAUCUCACAUUUGAGGUAGUGGUAUGGAUGCGUACACUUGCCCUCCCCAGACCCACUUGGUGGGAAUAUACUGGGUAUGUUGUUGUUGUUGUUGUUGUGUAUAUACAAACCUAUAAAUACAUAGGGUUUCGAUCGAAGCUUAUGGGUGGUGUGGCACCCUGACAGGCCUUAAUAGAUCCGCCCUGCCUACAAUGAUCAAGUUAACAGAUUGAUUAAAUGUCAAUUGACAUAUGUAUCAGGAACAAACAUGUGUUUUAUGUAUGGUUACAUAGUAACACAAAAUCCACUAAAGAAAUCGACCGAAAACCAGCUCAAAACCUCCCUACCAGGCAGUUUCAGAUGCUAAUCAAAAUGCAGAUUUGCCUCACUAAAGAUUAAGGCAUUCAACAAAGAUGCUCAAUUGUCUCUUAGAACUGCAAACUUGAGCCAUUCCCUUGUGGUUUUGUCCUAUGAAAAAAAAUCUCUUGCGUGAAGAGAUUCAUCGAAACCAUUAUGAGAUCUAUGAUCUUGCUGAACUACUCCAUUUAAUACUAAAGACAUGCCUAAUAACAUUGAGGGAAGAAAAUAGCUCUACCAAUUUGAGCAACCAUGAGUUGCCAUUUCCAUAAAUUAAAUGAGCUAACCCACAUAUGUACUCCAAAUUAAAAAAAUUCCAGUAGAGAUAUACAUUCACAUUCUGCACUUACAGCAACAACAGAAUUUGAGUAAAUUUUCUUCAGAGAUUUACACGUCACUAUGAGGUGAAUACCAACAAAGAAGAUGCCAUCAUCUCCUCUUCAUUAUGAUUGUUUAAAAUAUAUUUUUCAUCAUAACACAUGCACACUUGUUCAGGAACAACCGAACAAGUGCUUACGAGAACCAUUGUCCCAGUACACUAGACCGAGAGAAAAUGAAAAAUGAAGAAAACAGAAUCCAAUUAGUUAUGGAUAUGGGGAAAAAGAAACACAGACCAUAAAAUGUGACCAAACAUCACGUACUCAAUAUCAUAUCUCUAGCAUCUUAGCUAAUGGCCUCAAAACACCUGCCAAAUUCGGUGAACUGUCAUCUGAGUUUUAUUGCAUUACUAUUCUGAAUUCUUUUAUUACUUCAUCCUAGUCUGUAACUUAAUAUGACUUCUCAGAUUAACAUGGCAAAUAAUUUUCUCAGUGAGAAGUACUGAUCUUAAUAUAUAAAGACUAUAAUACACCUUAUCAAAAUGAAAAAUGAGGUUCACUUGUUCUUUUAAGUUCUUCAGUAGUUACUCACUAGAUAAAAGGGUGUGGAAGGCACGGAUAAGGGUAGAAGGCUAGUGUGAGUGUGUGGGUUGUAGCAUGCAGUUAGGAGAGAUCUUGUGUAGCCGAGGAAGUAACCCUAGGACUGUGUACAUAGGUGGGUGCCCUUUUUCUUAUGUCUUACUUCCUAUUUGUCUUAUUUCGCGUCGCCAGUAUUUUCUCAUAUUUCGUAUUUCUACGAUUACUAUUUUUAUCAUUUCUUAUUCGCAUUCUCUUUUAUGUCACCCAUCCCCCCCCCCCCCCGAAAACAACCUCUCUACUUCUUCGGAGGUAUGGACUGCGUACAUCUUACCCU
rnacentral:lncRNA from 1 species